rnacentral:rRNA from 1 species
CCCUUAGAGUUUGAUCCUGGCUCAGAUUGAACGCUGGCGGCAGGCCUAACACAUGCAAGUCGAGCGGUAGCACAGGAGAGCUUGCUCUCUGGGUGACGAGCGGCGGACGGGUGAGUAAUGUCUGGGAAACUGCCUGAUGGAGGGGGAUAACUACUGGAAACGGUAGCUAAUACCGCAUAACGUCUUCGGACCAAAGUGGGGGACCUUCGGGCCUCACGCCAUCAGAUGUGCCCGGAUGGGAUUAGCUAGUAGGUGGGGUAAUGGCUCACCUAGGCGACGAUCCCUAGCUGGUCUGAGAGGAUGACCAGCCACACUGGAACUGAGACACGGUCCAGACUCCUACGGGAGGCAGCAGUGGGGAAUAUUGCACAAUGGGCGCAAGCCUGAUGCAGCCAUGCCGCGUGUGUGAAGAAGGCCUUCGGGUUGUAAAGCACUUUCAGCGAGGAGGAAGGGUUCAGUGUUAAUAGCACUGUGCAUUGACGUUACUCGCAGAAGAAGCACCGGCUAACUCCGUGCCAGCAGCCGCGGUAAUACGGAGGGUGCAAGCGUUAAUCGGAAUUACUGGGCGUAAAGCGCACGCAGGCGGUUUGUUAAGUCAGAUGUGAAAUCCCCGCGCUUAACGUGGGAACUGCAUUUGAAACUGGCAAGCUAGAGUCUUGUAGAGGGGGGUAGAAUU